rnacentral:rRNA from 1 species
CGGAGGCAGCAGUGGGGAAUCUUGCGCAAUGGACGAAAGUCUGACGCAGCAACGCCGCGUGGAGGACGAAGGCUCUCGGGUUGUAAACUCCUUUCAGUAGGAACGAUAGUGACGGUACCUACAGAAGAAGCCCCGGCUAACUACGUGCCAGCAGCCGCGGUAAUACGUAGGGGGCGAGCGUUGUCCGGAUUUAUUGGGCGUAAAGAGCUCGUAGGCGGUUCAGUAAGUCAGAUGUGAAAACUCAGGGCUCAACCCUGAGCCUGCAUUUGAUACUGCUGUGACUAGAGGCUGGUAGGGGAUCACGGAAUUCCUGGUGUAGCGGUGGAAUGCGCAGAUAUCAGGAGGAACACCGAUGGCGAAGGCAGUGAUCUGGGCCAGUUCUGACGCUGAGGAGCGAAAGCGUGGGUAGCAAACAGGAUUAGAUACCCGGGUAC